UACAAGCAGGUAAAUCAGCCAUCAAUGG
rnacentral:sRNA from 1 species